rnacentral:rRNA from 1 species
AUGAACGCUGGCGGCGUGCCUAAUACAUGCAAGUCGAGCGAACGGACGAGAAGCUUGCUUCUCUGAUGUUAGCGGCGGACGGGUGAGUAACACGUGGAUAACCUACCUAUAAGACUGGGAUAACUUCGGGAAACCGUAGCUAAUACCGGAUAAUAUUUUGAACCGCAUGGUUCAAAAGUGAAAGACGGUCUUGCUGUCACUUAUAGAUGGAUCCGCGCUGCAUUAGCUAGUUGGUAAGGUAACGGCUUGCCAAGGCAACGAUGCAUAGCCGACCUGAGAGGGUGAUCGGCCACACUGGAACUGAGACACGGUCCAGACUCCUACGGGAGGCAGCAGUAGGGAAUCUUCCGCAAUGGGCGAAAGCCUGACGGAGCAACGCCGCGUGAGUGAUGAAGGUCUUCGGAUCGUAAAACUCUGUUAUUAGGGAAGAACAUAUGUGUAAGUAACUGUGCACAUCUUGACGGUACCUAAUCAGAAAGCCACGGCUAACUACGUG